UACGGAGGGGGCUAGCGUUGCUCGGAAUCACUGGGCGUAAAGGGUGCGUAGGCGGGUCUUUAAGUCAGGGGUGAAAUCCUGGAGCUCAACUCCAGAACUGCCUUUGAUACUGAAGAUCUUGAGUUCGGGAGAGGUGAGUGGAACUGCGAGUGUAGAGGUGAAAUUCGUAGAUAUUCGGAAGAACACCAGUGGCGAAGGCGACUCACUGGACAUGUAUUGACGCUGAGGUGCGAAAGCGUGGGGAGCAAACAGG
rnacentral:rRNA from 1 species